rnacentral:rRNA from 1 species
UUGGGAGCUCACUUCGAAGUCAUGGGAAUUCCGAAGUUAAGUGAGUUGGAGCUAGAGCAAUCCCAAGAUGGGUGACCUAUUGGGAAGUUUGCUAGUGAGUUCCCAAA